rnacentral:sRNA from 16 species
GUUGGCUCAGUGGUCUGUCCAUCGUGGAAGGCCAAAAUGACUUGCUGAUUUCAGGAGCUUUGAUUUAUGCGUA